rnacentral:rRNA from 1 species
GAUGAACGCUGGCGGCGUGCCUAAUACAUGCAAGUCGAGCGAACAGACGAGGAGCUUGCUCCUCUGACGUUAGCGGCGGACGGGUGAGUAACACGUGGAUAACCUACCUAUAAGACUGGGAUAACUUCGGGAAACCGGAGCUAAUACCGGAUAAUAUAUUGAACCGCAUGGUUCAAUAGUGAAAGACGGUUUUGCUGUCACUUAUAGAUGGAUUCGCGCCGCAUUAGCUAGUUGGUAAGGUAACGGCUUACCAAGGCAACGAUUCGUAGCCGACCUGAGAGGGUGAUCGGCCACACUGGAACUGAGACACGGUCCAGACUCCUACGGGAGGCAGCAGUAGGGAAUCUUCCGCAAUGGGCGAAAGCCUGACGGAGCAACGCCGCGUGAGUGAUGAAGGUCUUCGGAUCGUAAAACUCUGUUAUUAGGGAAGAACAAAUGUGUAAGUAACUAUGCACGUCUUGACGGUACCUAAUCAGAAAGCCACGGCUAACUACGUG